rnacentral:tRNA from 1 species
UCCGAAUUGGUGUAGUGGCUAACAUUUGACGCUCUCAACUCCACCUUCUGGGUGCAGCAAAGUCCCGUCAAGCCCGGGGUUCGAUUCCCCGAUUCGGAG